GUGUGAGGGAAGGAGUGACUCAGGCAAGGCUUUUCAUAGAGAAAGAGUCUCUGCCAGCUUGUCCUCUCUCCCAUCUCUGCUCCUUACCUCCCCUGCUCUCUCCACCCCGAAACCAACUAAAUAGCCAGACAAGGGUCAGAUGGGUAUUAUGUGAGAUAAGGCGUGUGGCAGGACAGAGGCCAGUGUACUUGCAUGACUCUUAAAGGCCUCUUUUGCCUCACCCUGGUCCCAACUCCAAUAUGUGACAAUGCAUUGGAAGUUGUAAGGUACUAAUGAGAUAGCCCAUCCUUCCAAGAGCUCUUCCUGUUAGAUCCCAUCCAUUCCAACCUAAUUUCCAACCGCAUCCUGGAACAUACUGUUACUUCGAUGGGAGUACUGAGGCCAUCUUUCUUCCACUAGCCCACUGCAUCCCAGGUGCUUGCUCUCUGCCAGGAGUAGCUCGGAGAGGAGGAAGGAGAAGUCCCGGGAUGCUGCGCGGUGCCGGCGGAGCAAGGAGACGGAGGUGUUCUAUGAGCUGGCCCAUGAGCUGCCUCUGCCCCACAGUGUGAGCUCCCAUCU
rnacentral:sRNA from 1 species